GAUAAACGCUGGCGGCGUGCCUAACACAUGCAAGUCGAACGUCCUCUCUCGCAAGAGAGAGGGAGUGGCGGACGGGUGAGUAACACAUGGGUCACCUACCCUUAAGUGAGGAAUACCGGCGAGAAAUCGCCGACAAGACCGCAUAGGCUCUCUCUUUUGCAAGAGAGAGCAAAGCUUCGCAAGAGGCGCUUGAGGAUGGGCCUGUGGCCGAUUAGCUGGUUGGAGGGUAAUGGCUUACCAAGGCGACGAUCGGUAGCUGGUCUGAGAGGACGAUCAGCCACACUGGGAUUGAGAACGGCCCAGACUCC
rnacentral:rRNA from 1 species